AAUGGCAUGUAUCUAUAAAAUGCUAUAAUCAAAGUUUUUCUUGUUCCCAAAGGUGAGACCUUAUUGUGUUUCUCAUCUUUAUUAGACCCCUGCUUUAAAAAAGUGGGCUAUACUGUUUUACCUCUGUCUGUCCGUCCGUCCAUCCAUCCGUCCGUCGGUCCAUCCAGCCGUCCCAUGAAUAUUUUCGUCGAAUCUUUCUCAGGAACUACACUACAAGGAUUUCUGAAAUUUGGUUUCAGGGUUUAUAUAAGUCAGCCAUACCGUAUGAUGUGUUUUCAGAUUCAUCACUCAACAACUUCCUGUUUACCGUCAAGUAUUUGGGCGGGGGUAUCAUCAGUGAGCAGUAGCUUGCACAGAAUGCAAGAUAGGGAUUAUAAUCCAGCACCGGCAGCGUAAACUAUUUGAAUUUUAGUCCCCUACCGACGAAGUCGAAGGGGACUUUAGGUUUGCACCCCGUCCGUCUGGCUGUCUGUCUGUCGGUCUGUCCAUCCGUCAGUCGGUCAAAUCAGUUUUCCACACUUUUUUUUCUUCAUGCUUGAAGAUAUUGAUUUGAUAUUUGGUGUAUUGUUUUAUCAUGACAAAUUACAGAUCAAGAUCGAAAUUUGUUCCAGUCUGAUGAUUUUGUGCAGAGUUAUGGUCCUUGGACUUAGAAAAUUCACUUAGAUAAUCAGUUUUCAACACUUUUUUUCGUCAUGCUUGAAGAUAUUGACUUGAUAUUUAUUAUAUAGUUUACACCAUGACAAGUUAUAGAUCAAGUUAGAAUUUUGUUCCAAUACAAUGAAUUUUUAACCGGUAGGGGACUAUGUAUUGCCAUGCAAUACUCACAGAAUGCUUGUUUUCUUCUUUUUAUACGACCGCAAAAAUUUUGCGGUCGUAUAUUGGUAUGACGUUGGCGUCAUGGUCGUUGUCGUCCGAGGACACAUUAGUUUUCGAACUAUACCUUUAGUUUAAGUGAAUGGAUCUCUAUGAAAUUUUUACCAUGAGGUUCAAUACCACAAAAGGAAGGUUGGGAUUGAUUUCGGGGGUUAUGGUACCAACAGUUAAGGAAUAAGGGGCCAAAAAGGGGCCAAAAAUAAGCAUUUUUGUAACUUCCAGACAAUAACUUGUGUGUAAGUGUAUGGAUCUCUCUGACAUUGUACCACAAGGUUCCAUAUCAUAAAGGGAAGGCUGGAAUUGAUUUAGGGGGUAAUUGCCUCAAAAUUUUAGGAUUAAGGGGCCAAAAAAGGGGCAAAAUACAAGCAUUUUUCUAGUUUCAUGACAAUAUAAACUUGUGUGUAAGUGUAUGGAUAUUUCUGAAAUUGUACUACAAGGUUCCAUAUCACAAAGGGAAAGCUGGAAUUGAGUUUGGGGGUAAUUGCCCGAAACGUUUAGGAAUUGGGGGCCAAAAAGGGGCCAAAAAUAAGCAUUUUCUAGUUUCCAGACAAUAACUUGUGUUCAAGUUUAUGGAUCUCUCUGAAAUUGUACUGCAAGGUUCUAUACCACAACGGGAAGGCUGGGAUUGAUGAUGGGGGUAAUUGCCUCAAUAUUUUAGGAAUUAAGGGCCAAAAAGGGGUAAAAAACAAGCAUUUUUCUAGUUUCAGGACAAUAACUUGUGUGUAAAUGUAUGGAUCUUUCUGAAAUUGUACUACAAGGUUCCAUAUCACAAAGGAAAAGCUGGAAUUGAGUUUGGGGGUAAUUGCCUAAAAAGUUUAGGAAUAAGGGGCCAAAAGAACCAUUUUUCUAGUUUCCAGACAAUAACGUGUGUUCAAAUAUAUGGAUCUCUCUGAAAUUAUACUGCAAGGAACCAUAUCACAAAGGGAAGGCUGGGAUUGAUUUUGGGGGUAAUUCCCUCAAAAUUUUAGUAAUUAGGGGCCAUAAAAGGGCAAAAAACCAAGCAUUUUUCUAGUUUCCGGACAAUAACUUGUGUGUAAGUGUAUGGAUCUUUAUGAAAUUGUACUGCAAGGUUCCAUAUCGCAAAGGGAAAGCUGGGUUUGAGUUUGGGGGUAAUUGCCCUAAACGUUUAGGAA